AUUGUAGCGGUCCCGCUAUAUAAGGUGGCGCCUACGCGCCGCGCUCCUCACCUACUUCUGCACCGGCCCGGAGCCCGCCGAUCCUCCCCCAGCGCACCCGGCAUCCCGCGCACCGACGGAGCGGACAUGGGCAGAGCAAUGGUGGUCAGGCUGGGGCUGGGGCUGCUGCUCCUGGCUCUGCUCCUACCCGCGCAGAUUUAUGCAAAUCAAACAACUCUUGCAACAGAGUCAAGUAGCUUGUCCCAGAAUGUUACGACUACUACUACUACUACGAGUCCGAUCAAUGCCACCACCAGGGGGGAUGCCAGUGCACUGCAGUCCACAGCAGCCAGCCUCCUCGUGGUCUCUCUCUCCCUGCUACAUCUCUACUGUUAGAGACUCAGGCCAAGAAGCAUCAACAUUUUCCCCUCUUCUAAACCCACCCCAAAUGGCGACGAGAAGUCCACGUGGCAAGGAAGAAGCAAUCUUCAUGGCAUCUACUAGCUCCACGCCUUGUCCCGCUGACACCAAAAGUGUUGAGAAUCCCAAAUUUGAUUGGUUUGAAAAACAUGGGAAGAGUUUGACCAGAUGAUGAGCGCCGACACUAAAUCUGCUGGCAUUUUCAUGUUCAACAUGAAGAGAGACAACAUCCAAAUUUAAAGACAUGAUUUCCUCGAAUGUAGCUUAAGAAAUAUAUGAACACUGAGCACCUCUACCUUGAAAAAUUGAGAAUAGAUUUUGUCUUGCCUAGAAUUAAAGGGUGGGGAUGUGGAAUGGAGAUUCGUUUUUUCAUUUGAUUUGCUAAAUGUGUAAGGCCAUAAAACCAGUUAAGUAAUACAAAAAGCUUCCAUGAUCCUAUUUACACGUACAUUAGAAGGAAUUCCAGGCGUGGUAGAUCCUCAGUGUGUUGUUGCAGCAGCACUAAUUUAAUGCUGACAUACCCUAAAGCUCCACGUUGUCGUCACUGUUCUCUUAAGAACUGAACUUUUUUUUUUUCUCUCUGAGGCUUUGGACUUGACAUUGCAUUUGACCUUUUAUGUACCAGGGCAAUGAUGGAUUGGAAUAGCCCCAAAUUCAAGCACAAGUAAAUCUUGCUUAUCCUCAAGUUAAACCCGUAGGCGUUUUCCAUCAGGUGCUUGUAUUCAAUGAGAAUGUCAGAAUCGUUUAGUUCAACUGGUUCCAAGGAGUACAGUUGCACUGGCCUCUGCCGAUUUCAAAAUGCUGCUGCUUUAGUUCUGCCUAGGUUGAGGACUUGUUCCAAUUUAAAAAAAGGUGGGGGGAGUCUGUUUUGAAGGUGAAGUGGGAGAUUUUGAAAUUCACAAUAGAAAGGUGAAUAUGGAAAGGAGCCAAAAUGUCAAGUAUUUGGGAAGUGAAGACCGGAAGCUUCCUUGCAUUCAAUUCACAAAAACUUUUAUACUCUUUAUGUAAAUACAUUUUUUUUAAGAAAAUUCGACAACUAUGGAUCAGGAAAGCCACCCUCGGGAGCGCUCUGAUCAGUCCGUAUUUUUAGAAAGUUAGCACCUGAUAGUUUAAGCCUAACAUGGCUUCAGUCUGCAGAAAAAUCACAAUUCCCUUGAAGUACAGAGAUGUUUUCAAAACCAACACUCCCUGGAAUCUUGUUCGCAUGGUCACACACUGAUGCUUAGAUGUUCUAAUAGGUAAUUAUGGCCAUAGGAGUCUGGCUAAAUCAAGAUCAUUUCUCCUUUUUUUUUUUUUUUUAAUCAUCUUUAGAAAUCUACAUGGGAACAACCAGGUUGAACAGAUCUGAAGCUACUGUGUGUGUGAAUGAACACUCCUUUUUUGCUUCAUACCUAAAUGCUGUACAACUAUUUUGAAUUGUAUAUGUGUUUGUGUAUUUAUGCUUUGAUUCAUAGUAACUUCUCAUGUUAUGGAAUUGAUUUGCAUUGAACACAAACUGUAAAUAAAAAGAAAUAAAUGGCUGGAACAGAAA